UACAGAGGGGGCAAGCGUUGUUCGGAAUUACUGGGCGUAAAGGGCGCGUAGGCGGCCUGCUAAGUCGAACGUGAAAUCCCUGGGCUCAACCCGGGAACUGCGUCCGAUACUGGCAGGCUUGAAUCCGGGAGAGGGAUGUGGAAUUCCAGGUGUAGCGGUGAAAUGCGUAGAUAUCUGGAGGAACACCGGUGGCGAAGGCGGCAUCCUGGACCGGUAUUGACGCUGAGGCGCGAAAGCUAGGGGAGCAAACGGG
rnacentral:rRNA from 1 species